rnacentral:rRNA from 1 species
GUGGGGAAUCUUCCACAAUGGACGAAAGUCUGAUGGAGCAACGCCGCGUGAGUGAAGAAGGGUUUCGGUUCGUAAAGCUCUGUUGUCGGGGACGAAUGUGCAGUAUUUGAAUAAAGUACUGUAAUGACGGUACCUGACGAGGAAGCAACGGCUAACUACGUGCCAGCAGCCGCGGUAAUACGUAGGUGGCAAGCGUUGUCCGGAAUUAUUGGGCGUAAAGGGAGCGCAGGCGGGAAGGUAAGUCGGUCUUAAAAGUGCGGGGCUCAACCCCGUGAUGGGAUCGAAACUAUCUUUCUUGAGUGCAGGAGAGGAAAGUGGAAUUCCUAGUGUAGCGGUGAAAUGCGUAGAUAUUAGGAGGAACACCAGUGGCGAAGGCGACUUUCUGGACUGUAACUGACGCUGAGGCUCGAAAGCCAGGGGAGCGAACGGGAUUAGAAACCCUGGUAGUCC